AGAGUUUGAUCCUGGCUCAGGAUGAACGCUAGCGGCAGGCUUAACACAUGCAAGUCGAGGGGCAGCGGGGAGUAGCAAUACUCCGCCGGCGACCGGCGCACGGGUGCGUAACGCGUAUGCAACCUACCUUUAACAGGGGCAUAACACUGAGAAAUUGGUACUAAUUCCCCAUAACAUUCGAGAAGGCAUCUUCUUGGGUUAAAAACUCCGGUGGUUAAAGAUGGGCAUGCGUUGUAUUAGCUAGUUGGUGAGGUAACGGCUCACCAAGGCAACGAUACAUAGGGGGACUGAGAGGUUAACCCCCCACAUUGGUACUGAGACACGGACCAAACUCCUACGGGAGGCAGCAGUGAGGAAUAUUGGUCAAUGGGCGUAAGCCUGAACCAGCCAAGUCGCGUGAGGGAUGAAGGUUCUAUGGAUCGUAAACCUCUUUUAUAAGGGAAUAAAGUGCGGGACGUGUCCCGUUUUGUAUGUACCUUAUGAAUAAGGAUCGGCUAACUCCGUGCCAGCAGCCGCGGUAAUACGGAGGAUCCGAGCGUUAUCCGGAUUUAUUGGGUUUAAAGGGUGCGUAGGCGGUUUGAUAAGUUAGAGGUGAAAUACCGGGGCUCAACUCCGGAACUGCCUCUAAUACUGUUGAACUAGAGAGUAGUUGCGGUAGGCGGAAUGUAUGGUGUAGCGGUGAAAUGCUUAGAGAUCAUACAGAACACCGAUUGCGAAGGCAGCUUACCAAACUAUAUCUGACGUUGAGGCACGAAAGCGUGGGGAGCAAACAGGAUUAGAUACCCUGGUAGUCCACGCAGUAAACGAUGAUAACUCGUUGUCGGCGAUACACAGUCGGUGACUAAGCGAAAGCGAUAAGUUAUCCACCUGGGGAGUACGUUCGCAAGAAUGAAACUCAAAGGAAUUGACGGGGGCCCGCACAAGCGGAGGAACAUGUGGUUUAAUUCGAUGAUACGCGAGGAACCUUACCCGGGCUUGAAAGUUAGUGACGAUUCUGGAAACAGGAUUUCCCUUCGGGGCACGAAACUAGGUGCUGCAUGGUUGUCGUCAGCUCGUGCCGUGAGGUGUCGGGUUAAGUCCCAUAACGAGCGCAACCCCUACUGUUAGUUACCAGCACGUCAAGGUGGGCACUCUAGCAGGACUGCCGGUGUAAGCCGAGAGGAAGGUGGGGAUGACGUCAAAUCAGCACGGCCCUUACGUCCGGGGCUACACACGUGUUACAAUGGGGGGUACAGAAGGCAGCUACCUGGCGACAGGAUGCUAAUCCCAAAAACCUCUCUCAGUUCGGAUCGAAGUCUGCAACCCGACUUCGUGAAGCUGGAUUCGCUAGUAAUCGCGCAUCAGCCAUGGCGCGGUGAAUACGUUCCCGGGCCUUGUACACACCGCCCGUCAAGCCAUGGGAG
rnacentral:rRNA from 1 species